rnacentral:rRNA from 1 species
GACAGCAGAACUACUACUUCGUAGCCUGAUCUCGUCAGGUCUCAGAAACUAAUCAGGCCUGGGCCUGGUUGUACUAGGAUGGGAGACCACAAGGGAAAGACUUCCAGACUGUGUCUGCAAACU